rnacentral:rRNA from 1 species
GGGGGGGGGGGGGGGGGGGGGGGGCGGGGGGGGGGCGAAGGGGAGGGGCCGGCUGGGGGGGGGUGCGGGGGGGGGGAACGGGUGAGGAACACGUGAGUAACCUGCCCUUGGCGUUGGGGUAACUGCAGGAAACGGGGGCUAAUACCGGAUCGGAGCUCCUGCUGCAUGGUGGGGGUUGGAAAAUUUCGGCGGGUGGGGACGGACUCGCGGCUUAUCAGCUUGUUGGUGGGGUAGUGGCUUACCAAGGCUUUGACGGGUAGCCGGCCUGAGAGGGUGACCGGCCACAUUGGGACUGAGAUACGGCCCAGACUCCUACGGGAGGCAGCAGUGGGGAAUAUUGCACAAUGGGCGGAAGCCUGAUGCAGCAACGCCGCGUGCGGGAUGACGGCCUUCGGGUUGUAAACCGCUUUCGCCUGUGACGAAGCGUGAGUGACGGUAAUGGGUAAAGAAGCACCGGCUAACUACGUG